ACGAACGCUGGCGGCGUGCCUAAUACAUGCAAGUCGAACGCUUCUUUUUCCAUCGGAGCUUGCUCCACCGGAAAAAGAGGAGUGGCGAACGGGUGAGUAACACGUGGGUAACCUGCCCAUCAGAAGGGGAUAACACUUGGAAACAGGUGCUAAUACCGUAUAACAAUCGAAACCGCAUGGUUUUGAUUUGAAAGGCGCUUUCGGGUGUCGCUGAUGGAUGGACCCGCGGUGCAUUAGCUAGUUGGUGAGGUAACGGCUCACCAAGGCGACGAUGCAUAGCCGACCUGAGAGGGUGAUCGGCCACAUUGGGACUGAGACACGGCCCAAACUCCUACGGGAGGCAGCAGUAGGGAAUCUUCGGCAAUGGACGAAAGUCUGACCGAGCAACGCCGCGUGAGUGAAGAAGGUUUUCGGAUCGUAAAACUCUGUUGUUAGAGAAGAACAAGGAUGAGAGUAACUGUUCAUCCCUUGACGGUAUCUAACCAGAAAGCCACGGCUAACUACGUGCCAGCAGCCGCGGUAAUACGUAGGUGGCAAGCGUUGUCCGGAUUUAUUGGGCGUAAAGCGAGCGCAGGCGGUUUCUUAAGUCUGAUGUGAAAGCCCCCGGCUCAACCGGGGAGGGUCAUUGGAAACUGGGAGACUUGAGUGCAGAAGAGGAGAGUGGAAUUCCAUGUGUAGCGGUGAAAUGCGUAGAUAUAUGGAGGAACACCGGUGGCGAAAGCGGCUCUCUGGUCUGUAACUGACGCUGAGGCUCGAAAGCGUGGGGAGCAAACAGGAUUAGAUACCCUGGUAGUCCACGCCGUAAACGAUGAGUGCUAAGUGUUGGAGGGUUUCCGCCCUUCAGUGCUGCAGCUAACGCAUUAAGCACUCCGCCUGGGGAGUACGACCGCAAGGUUGAAACUCAAAGGAAUUGACGGGGGCCCGCACAAGCGGUGGAGCAUGUGGUUUAAUUCGAAGCAACGCGAAGAACCUUACCAGGUCUUGACAUCCUUUGACCACUCUAGAGAUAGAGCUUCCCCUUCGGGGGCAAAGUGACAGGUGGUGCAUGGUUGUCGUCAGCUCGUGUCGUGAGAUGUUGGGUUAAGUCCCGCAACGAGCGCAACCCUUAUUGUUAGUUGCCAUCAUUUAGUUGGGCACUCUAGCAAGACUGCCGGUGACAAACCGGAGGAAGGUGGGGAUGACGUCAAAUCAUCAUGCCCCUUAUGACCUGGGCUACACACGUGCUACAAUGGGAAGUACAACGAGUCGCAAAGUCGCGAGGCUAAGCUAAUCUCUUAAAGCUUCUCUCAGUUCGGAUUGUAGGCUGCAACUCGCCUACAUGAAGCCGGAAUCGCUAGUAAUCGCGGAUCAGCACGCCGCGGUGAAUACGUUCCCGGGCCUUGUACACACCGCCCGUCACACCACGAGAGUUUGUAACACCCGAAGUCGGUGAGGUAACCUUUUGGAGCCAGCCGCCUAAGGUGGGAUAGAUGAUUGGGGUG
rnacentral:rRNA from 1 species